rnacentral:lncRNA from 1 species
CGGAUUUGAUGGGAACAACAGCCAGAGACGGUCCCUCCCUGACCCCCCCCUCCCAGCCCCCAAAAAAUCCCUGCUUGAUGCUGACCAAAGCUGAAAGCACGGCUGGAGGGAGCUGAAACAAGACGCUGAGUCAUUAAUUUUCCUGAACUCCGGAGAAGUUUGGAAUUACAUCAUCAUUUAAGAGCUCUCUGGGAUGACAUCCAAAGGUUCUUGGCAUGGCGCUGGAAAUGCAGGAGCAUCCCAGGGAAAUAUGGGAACACCUUUCCCUUCUUGGGACCGAGCAAACACCUGCAGGGAAAAACCUCCACCACUUUGAGGGAAUGCCAGGAUUUUCAGGAAGAGCAGAGCAGGACUCUUGCCAUGCCAUCCAACACAGCCCUUCCACCAGACCAGGCUGACCAAGGUGUGACCCUGGGCUUCUCCUCCUCGCCAUCCCCAUUUGCAGCUGCCCCUCAGCUGAAAGAUGCCCUGAAUUUCUCCUCUUGGUGUUGUCCAGCUGCAGCCCAAGCCCAG